ensembl:lncRNA
CUGGAUUUGUAGCAAAUUGUUUUUUUCUGCUUUAAUUUUCUAACUUCAACGGCAGCAGUGCGUUCAGUACUUCUCCCAACUCCUUCAGAUUAAUGUUUACUCCCUUCCAAGCAGUUGGGUUAAAUAUAAGCUAAUUUAGGGGUGAGGAGAGAUGAGGAUCUCAGCCUGUGAUCAUAAUUCUUGCGAUGAAGCCACUGCACCAGUCAAUGAUUCUCCCUUCUAAUGUGUGUCUACAGGAGGAAAGAAAGAUGGACGUGCUACGUGGGCUGUACAUGCUCCUUAAAUGCAAGGUUCAUCAUUUUGUCUGGAUGGCCUGAAAUGUGUCCAGCCUUGGUGCUUUUAGGACACGAUCACUUACUGCUCAAUCAUGAGCAGUCUCCAAAGGCCAAUUCUGGCUUUUUGACAACAGCAGCAUAAACCAUUUCACAGUCUUGAGAGAUACUCAGUGGGGACGAGCGAUUCCUUCUGGCUCAUCAGUUUAGGAGGAUGGCCUGUGUGAAUUUGCAGGGGAAAAAUGCAGACAAUUGUUCAGGUUGGUAGUGUUGAAGAUCCUGUGGGUGCCCAACGUGAUUGUGGUCAAGAUCACUACACUAGAAAUGGAUGAUGCUAUAUUGCUUGAUAUCAGGGCGAUGCCCCUCCUGUAUUUACUCCCAAGGAGCUGCUCCUACCUUCUGCUGUGCCUGCUGUCUAUUUGAGAAUGGGGCUGCUGGCGAGCUGGAGCCAAGGCCAGCAAUUCGGAGUAAGCCAAAAUAAGCAGAUUUGGUGAUGGGACUUGGAGAAUGAAAUAUUUUAUGUGAACUGCACACCUGGCAGACUUUUAUCAUAAAGUUUGCUGCUCUUCUCAGCUUUUCUCAUUAGAAAGAAGGUAUUUCUCAGUUGAAUCAGACUGACUCGAGACCGUCUCAUUUAAUAG